AAUUACCAUAAGAUGGGUAUUUACGGUUAUGAACUUGAAAUGCGCUUUCCUUCAAAGGACCUUGCCGGUGUAAGAUUAAGACAGCUGAUAUAUUGUAACAUAUUCUGUUCUUUGUAAUUGCUAUAAUGCUUAGCAUAUCGGUAUAUUUUGCAUUUUCAGUCCUUUAUUCACUUGAGGAUAUUUUUUGAGGAAAUUCUAUUUUAGUUUGUUUCUUUUUCAAAUCCAGGCCAGAUCACCUUAUACGGGACCCACCAAUAGAUGUCCUGAAAAAAUAGGUUAACUUCCUUCUCGGCGUGAACAAAAAUAACACCCAGAUCAGGUAGAGCGCAAGACCAAAAUGUUUGCGGCGGGUCAAGCACUUCAAGCUUGGAAGAAGCUUUAACUUCUCUCUCUAGUUUUACUUGACUUUCUGAUGGACACUGGGAGGCGCCAGACACUCCUCUGAAAGCUCAUGCCUUGAACAGAUAUGGAUGAAGUCUGGGUGAAGUUAGAUGAGAAGGCUGGGUGGAGGCUGUAACAGACCAGCAAAGAGCAGAGGGGUCAUCGGGUUUGGAACGUGUCGGACUGCCUAAGAGCAGCAGGCUUAGAGAUUGGCAUGGAGAGUGCAGCUACGGGCGCUGGGCACGCCACGAUGCCUCACUCCCCCUUUUGCUCUGGCACCUGCUUUGGUCGCACCAUGGCAGCGUCAGCAGAAUCCUCAGGCCAGACCUUUCAGAUGGGAAGGAGAAAUCCCUGCUGGGGAGGAAGGGGGGGAGUCCAUGAGAAAUAGUGACCACGCUGCGUCGGUCUGCUCCAGAGUUUGGUUUUAAGCCUGUGUGGUCUGCCACUGUUCUCCAGCGCAGGGAAUGUGAAAACCGGCCAGGGAACGCGAGCCACGCUUUCAUGGACAUAUAUGUACGCCUGCAUUGACAUCGCUGCUAUUUUUAGCUGCGGGCUGCUCACGGAGAUGUCAUAGUGAUGUCAGUGACCCCCCUUAAAAUAAAUGCUUUGUUAUUGUUCAGCAUUUUCUGUCUCCUUUGAUGCAAUGUUUGCUUAUGUUUACUUGCUAUUAAUAAUCCGUUCCGAUGGAGCUCAGAGAACCGGGGAAGUGUUCGGGAAAUUUGGACAGUUUAAAUAAUUCGGUGCGAUCUGGUAACAGACUGGGAAUAAACACUUUGUCAUGAAAUGGAAA